UGAACUGAUUAACUUAAGCUUAAUACUAAGUAAAUGUAUAGGUAUGUCGGGAGUAAGGUCGGCUUACACACUACACCAUGAUUUCUCAAAUGAAAGACGAAUUGAAAAUGACCUAGUAUGAUAUAUUUUUGAAAUUAACUAAGUUUAAAAAAAGCAGAAAUUUCACCACAUCAUAGCAGCCGGUCAUGAUGAAACAGUAAUACAUAUAAAUCAUCCGUAGUUUACAAUUACCAUGGACAAAUAACAUAGGAAAGGCUCUACACGAGCGAGUCGCGGCGACCGGCGCCUGCGCAGCCCGCAGUGCCCGCUUACGUAACACUAUCACUGCACAGUCUAAAUGUCUUACUAUCACUAACACGCUACUUAUUAACAUCAAUCUGUUGACGUGUUUCUGCUUGUUGCUAACUACGUAUAAUUAACAAGCAGCAUCUGUGAUUGAUACCUGAAAAUUGAAUGAAGAGUGUAUUAAUUAACACUGUCAAAUUAAAUACUGUUAGACCUACUAAUGUUAUUGUAUCAUUCAUCACUACGAUUCCUCGUAGCAUGAGAUAUGCAAUCCUGCACUAGUCGAGGAGGAGUCGAGUCGAAGAGGUAUGGAAAAAAUAUCUCUCACGUAAAAAACCAAAUAACCUUCCAAAAUCUUUUUUUACAAAAACCAAAAAUAACUGCUAUACCUAGAACGAGUAUUUCGAAAUAUUUUUUCAUAUGUCCGAAACGACAAUGUCGAAAAACGAAAGUUGCAAAGUAGUAACGAAGUUGUUUUAAUCGUCCUAAGUAAUAUCAGAAUUUUUACUAUUUAGGAGACCUCACCACCAAUAAAUAAUCUUUGAUGAGUCAAAAAGGCGGGAUAUUUCAUCAGAAUCAAGCAAUAACAAGAUAUAUUAAUCAACUUAUUCCGAUAUCUGAUUUUAUACCUAUAUACAUAAUAAUCAAUAAUUUGAUGCAGUAGCCAACCUUUGAAUGUAGGCUAUGGCGAACGAUAUAGCACGGAAUAUUUUCCUUGUGUUACGUUAUAGUGAAAGAGCCAUGCGCCGGCGCACACUACGUCGAUCCGUGACGUAACGUGCUCCCAAUUUGUGCAGUUAAGAAAGACGGCCGCAACGGCCCGCGGUAUAGACCCAGUCUUAAUAAAAUUACAUAGAGCUAAGCUAUUCAACACUUUGGUAGCGCCUUAUGGGUCUAAUGUAUACGAUGUUCUUUUGUUUCUGGUGAACUUAAAGAUCGGUUUUAAUUUUAGAUCAUGUGUGGUCGGCAUCAGUUACUUUGGUUGAAAAAGGAAUUUUGCUCAAAGGAGAAAUGCUUUUUGUUUAAACUGCUUGGUUUAAGAUCUCAGGGUAAGGUAGUGGUGACAGGUGGGGGUGGUUUUCUGGAUAUUUCCGUAUAGAUUUGAUUGACUUAGUACCUCAAUUAGGUGAGAUAGUAGCCCGGUUUCGUUUAUACUCGCAUCUCUACAUGUUUAAAGUAAAGUAAUUUAGAUGUAUUAUAAGUCCAAGGAUAUAACUUUUCGUAAGACAAUAAAAUCCUUUUCUUCAUUAUUGCGAUACGAUAAUGACAUUGCAAAAUUUUAUGACGUGUUAGUACUGCAUACGGUUAACGUGAAUUUAUUUGCAAGGCUUUUCUUGAGUCAUACUCAUUACAAUAAUUAUUUUAUUGACUAUAUUCGUAUUCAGGUUAAUGGGGAAAUAAUAUGUCGCUUCUCUGAAAACCUGAUGUGAUUGAGCAAAAAAUUUCGUCGCCUACGUCUUUAAAUUAAUUUACCCGUUACUUAGGCAAGAACUAACAUUUUCUAAGAUAUAUUUAGGUAUCUGUGUAAGGUGUGAAUUAGGUACGGCAAUCACUAACUAAGUAUUAUCAUAUGUGAAAUUCCCGGAUUUUCACUGCUCGAACCACUGGAUGAGUUUUUCCAGUUGCACUAAACCAGGGCCCCAAUUCUGCCAUUAGAAUGACCGAUAAAUAAAUGGAAAUUGGAUUAAAUUGGCACUCUUCGCAUUUUUCUAACACUAUAAUAGGAAAUUCAGGGAGCUGAACUGAAAUGAAUUCUCAUUUUGACGAAUGUCGAUCCAGCUUAAUAGGCUCCGUAAGGUUCACAUUUUUUAUCUUUUCUACACUUUUCUUCCUUUUCUGGUUUCCAUACUACUUACCUACUAGAAUUUCAUUGAACCUUAGGCAACAGCUAUAGGUUGUUAUAUUUAGAGUUACGGCACGAGUUAACAAUGUUGGUUAGGUAUAUGUUAGGUUGACUAAAUGUUCACAAAGACUAUUAUUAAACUGUUCACGACACGCGUUGCGGUGGUAUUCAAAAUAAUCCUUUAGCAGGACAAUUUAGGUUCAUUGUUAAAUUCGUGUCAAUAUCCGACUUCCUACAGCGUAUUUAUAAAAUAAUCCAUAAUUGACGCGAGCUAUUCCUGUUAUCACUAAGUAUAAGGUGGUAUGAGUAUAUUAUUUGAUCGCAGUAAUAUGUCGCCCUUAAAUUAUAUAAUAGGGAAUAAUAGGAGGAUGAGAUACGUACAUAAGACAAGGACAAUUGUACAUGAAAGUAUAAAUAAAUAAAUAAGACUUAAAACCGUCUCCCUAUUCGCAAAAUAUUCAAAUUGACAUAGAACGACAUUGAGGAGUCAUUUGGCAAAAUUGCCCUUGUGUAGGAGUCGAGCCUUCCAAAGUGAAGCUAGUCUAGGAGGGAAAUCUGAAAAAAACUCAACUCAAGUUUUUUGUGUGGCCAGAGCAGCGUGAGCAGUCAUUAACGAGUUUUAAAACUAGAUCAUGCCGAAACGAA